UACGAAGGGUGCAAACGUUGCUCGGAAUCAUUGGGCGUAAAGCGCACGUAGGCGGCUUCGCAAGUCGGAUGUGAAAUCCCGUGGCUCAACCAUGGACGUGCAUCCGAAACUGUGAGGCUUGAGUAUGGAAGAGGGUCGCGGAAUUCCCGGUGUAGAGGUGAAAUGCGUAGAUAUUGGGAGGAACACCAGUGGCGAAGGCGGCUCACUGGACCGGAACUGACGCUGAGGCGCGAAAGCGUGGGGAGCAAACAGG
rnacentral:rRNA from 1 species